GAAAUAUGUUAAUCAAGAUAAAGCUUCUAACUUUUCUCUUUAGCGGUGAAAUUCCGUUUAUAUUUCU
rnacentral:tRNA from 1 species